AUGUUGGCUGUCCACAUGUGUAAACGGCAUGUGUUAGCAAGGGCCGGGCAAGACCGGUGCCAGCCGCCGCGGCAACGCCGGCGGCCCAAGUGGUAAUCAUUUUUAUUGGGUCUAAAGGGUCCGUAGCCGGUUUGAUCAGUUCUUCGG
rnacentral:rRNA from 1 species